AUUGAGGUGAGAUGUUAUGUAAGCCUUAUGAGGUAGAAGUAAAUCCUGCUUUCCUGAAUAUGGUUGUAUUCUCAAGAGAAAAGCUAUCUUCAACUAAUCGGGCAGCUCUGGUUCAGUGUGGGGUAAAGGCAGAUACUGUGAGUUAUGGAUGGAUUGGGCUGCCUGGACAGGUACUUUAAUUUUCAAACUUCUGAAGAUCAAGAAGUUUAAUUUAGCUGAACCCAACAUCCAGGAAAGGCAAAGGACGCUACUGGACAACAUUAGUUCUGCAUCAACGAAGCUUUCAUUGGAAAAAGAUAAAACAGAAGGAAAUUUCUGCCUGCCAAACAGAAGAUUCAGGAGCUCUCUAGAAAGUGAAGCCUUCACACAGCAAGAAAUCUGAACUGAGUAAAGACACAGAAUUCUACAAAAUAGAAACUUCUGAUAUGGUGAUGUUGCUUUCUCUUGUGAACUACAGCAUUUAGCUUUGCUUCUCUGUAGCUGUUCUUUAUAUGAAUCGACCCAUGAUAAGAGUGGAGCAGACCUAGAAAAUCUGUCCGAUCUGUUCAUGUAUCUUAAUAAUGGUUCUGCCUGACAAAUUACUUCUAGUAAUGGCACAUUUUAAGAAGCCUACUGUUCAGUGAUAUGCUCCUAGUUUGCUGUUUCUCCAGCGAAGGGACUAACUUAGACUAAUUAGCAAGCGGCAUUCUCACUCAGUAGAAAAGAGCUUACACACUGUUUUCAAAAUCUGCCUUCCUUGAGAAUUGUAAAUUUAAACAAAAAUGGCAGAAAUACAAGCCCCAUCCUCCUAAGGGUUGGCAAGUUCUUCUGGGUGGUGGGGGGAGGGGGGGGUUGUUGUUUUGUUUUUCUCAUUCUGACAUUUCUGUCUAUAUCCCUGUCCCAGAAAGGAUUAAAGGUGGUAGAGUGUUUUGCUUUGUUUUUAUUAUUUAGUCAGCAUGUUUUAAUUAUCUAGGACAUUAGUGUGGACAAAGCAAAUUGUACUUUAAUGCCUGGUAGCUGGUCAAGCUGAAACUUAAAGGAAACCUGAGGUUUCAACUUGAUCACCUAAGGUGCUAAAGGGCAGCUUGCCCUGCCAAUACUACUGGUUCUUAAAUGUGAUAGGUAGCGCACAUUCAAUGAAACACCAUUUCAUUUUAGUCGUGGAUGAGUACUAGGAAAUUUACUCAGCAACUUCCUGCUAGCUAUCUAAUACCCCUUAGAACAGGGAGGUCAACAGAAUAAGGAAGGCCUUGUUAUGUUUAGAAACAGUAUGGGAACAAGAACAUGACUUCAGUUUUGUUAUUAAACAUAUCGCAGUGAAACAUCUCUGGCAAUUUGUCCAUGACAAAACAAAGUGGAUUGCAACCUGGCAUAUAUGUGUACUAGUAGUUUUGGGCAGAGAACAGUUCUUUGAACCUGUGAGAGAAAGUUGUGUAUCUAAAAGAAAUAGAAAUAUUGGCUUCUUUUAUUUUUUUCCCUGUGAGUUGUGCUGUUUCUGUGUCUUGUACAGUAUUAUAU